UACUCCCAAUUCAACAAAUUGAGUACUCUCAUGGUACAAUGACUUAAUUUUGUUUAUCCCUCCGUUGUCUUCUGUGAUGAAAAUGGACAAAAAAAGAUAAAUUAAGGAGAACAGAAUAUAUUGUCAAUUGUACUAGGCAACUAUGGCAAGGUGAAAUCAUUGAGUUAACACCAGAGGAAGAUACAUGAUGCAUUCAUCAUCCUAGGUUUGUCUUUAUUCCGAUGCCCUCACGAAUACAGCAUCAGCAUUUGUGAUAGGAACCUUUAGAUGUGCUAAUGGUUAUCUCUUCUGUAGUUUCAUUUCAGAUAUUUGGGCAGGUUCCCGAGUAUUCAAUUGUGUCGUGGUCUCAUUCGCAUGAUUUUAAUGCAUGCACAUACAUGACUUGUCAAAUGUUUGAUUAACUAAGGUCUAUCUAGGGAACGGGUGUGUGCUGCAUUACUAGAAGAUUGAAUCUGUAUGCAAUAUUGCCUCGAUUCAAUGUAUUUUUUCUCUGCUGCAAUGCUUAAAAUUUUCGGUGUGAAAGAUGUCCUUUUGGAGCUUUUCUGUUUCUGAAUUAGCAAGCUUUAAUAUCUACAUCAUGAGAUAUCUACCUAUCUCAACCAUCGAAUUUUUUUUUGUGUUUUGUUCUUCUUGCAGGUGUUUUGAGUUGUAGGUCCUGUGUUGAGCAGAGGCCCCUUUUUUUUUGCAUUUGGAUGUUUCAGACUUCACAAACUGAAGUUGAACUUCUUGUCAUUUCAGCAUUCAAAGCCAUUGGAAUAUUUUUGACAAUGCAAACAACCAAUAUUUGUGGUGGUUCUCCAGACUUAUUGAUCAGUUCAUGUCUUUCAUGGCCAUUUAGCUGGAAUUCGAAUGACUCUGACAGUGUAUGCUAAGUCAACCAACUAAUUGGUUAACCACUUUCAGUUAAUGCACCCGUGGCAUUAGCACGGGCACACUUUCUGAAGAUUUGUUGCAAUUUCAUGGUAGCAGGCCUAUCCAUGUUGCCUAAAUGUUCAUUAGUUUGUGAUCUGUAGGAACAUGUAAUUUGACCCUUUUGCUUUAUGGUCUUCCUCAUGCAUAUCGGUAUGAGCAACAAGCUGCCACCCAAGUCUGUCAAUGCUCGAGCUCGGCAGGGCAAUCUCAGUCACAUGCACCGAGCAACCUGUGGUGUACACUGUCUCCCUCCUGGAGGGCUCAUUCUGUGCUGUUCUUCAGGGGAAUGCUAAUGAUGAGCUGGAGAUCUGCUUGGAGAGUGGUGAUCCAGAUGUGGAAUCCUUUAAAGGCACCCAUCUUGUUUUCAUCGGUGCUGGAUGGGAUCCAUUUGAAGUUAUCACAAAUUCAAUGAAAGCUGUUGAGAGGCACUUGCAGACGUUUUGUCACAUGGAAAAGGAAAAGAUGCCAGACAUUCAAAACUGGUUUGGUUGGUGCACAUGGGAUGCAUUUUACACCAACGUACUGCUGAAGGAGUGAGAGGGAUUACAGAGCUUUCAAAAAGGUGGAGUUUCUCCUGAGUGUGUCAGAAUUGACGACGGCUGGCAAUCAGUCGGUAUGGAUCCUGUGGGAAUUGCAUGCUUAACUGAUAACUCAGCCAACUUUGCAAACAGGUUGACUCAUAUUAAGGAGAACCACAAGUUUCAGAAAAAUUGGAGGGAGGGUCACAGGGAAGACGAUCCAACAAAAGGCCUCGCACAUAUUGUCAAUGAAAUUAAUGGAAAACAUGAGCUGAACUAUGUGUACCUGUGGCACGCAAUAACUGGAUACUGGGAUGGAGUCAGGCCAUGUGUUGUUGGAAUGGAGCACUAUGAAUCAAAGAUGCAGCACCCUAUGUUAUCGCCUGGAGUUCAGAAAAACGAACCCUGUGCUUGGUGGUGGGUGCAAUCACCUGAUAUUGCAGUUUUUAACACACUUCUAUUCUUGCUGCAGUUCAAAAAGGAGCGCAGUUGUGAGAGCAUCAUAUAAUUUCUACCCGGCUUCCCAUACUAUACACAUUGCAUCUA